rnacentral:rRNA from 1 species
AUUGAACGCUGGCGGCAGGCCUAACACAUGCAAGUCGAGCGGAUGAAGGGAGCUUGCUCCUGGAUUCAGCGGCGGACGGGUGAGUAAUUCCUAGGAAUCUGCCUGGUAGUGGGGGAUAACGUCCGGAAACGGGCGCUAAUACCGCAUACGUCCUGAGGGAGAAAGUGGGGGAUCUUCGGACCUCACGCUAUCAGAUGAGCCUAGGUCGGAUUAGCUAGUUGGUGGGGUAAAGGCCUACCAAGGCGACGAUCCGUAACUGGUCUGAGAGGAUGAUCAGUCACACUGGAACUGAGACACGGUCCAGACUCCUACGGGAGGCAGCAGUGGGGAAUAUUGGACAAUGGGCGAAAGCCUGAUCCAGCCAUGCCGCGUGUGUGAAGAAGGUCUUCGGAUUGUAAAGCACCUUAAGUUGGGAGGAAGGGCAGUAAGUUAAUACCUUGCUGUUUUGACGUUACCAACAGAAUAAGCACCGGCUAACUUCGUG